rnacentral:rRNA from 1 species
GAUGAACGCUAGCUACAGGCUUAACACAUGCAAGUCGAGGGGAAACGAUAUUGGAAGCUUGCUUCUGAUAGGCGUCGACCGGCGCACGGGUGAGUAACGCGUAUCCAACCUGCCCAUCACUUGGGGAUAACCUUGCGAAAGUAAGACUAAUACCCAAUGACGUCUCUAGAAGACAUCUGAAAGAGAUUAAAGAUUUAUCGGUGAUGGAUGGGGAUGCGUCUGAUUAGCUUGUUGGCGGGGUAACGGCCCACCAAGGCGACGAUCAGUAGGGGUUCUGAGAGGAAGGUCCCCCCACAUUGGAACUGAGACACGGUCCAAACUCCUACGGGAGGCAGCAGUGAGGAAUAUUGGUCAAUGGACGAGAGUCUGAACCAGCCAAGUAGCGUGCAGGAUGACGGCCCUAUGGGUUGUAAACUGCUUUAUAAGGGAAUAAAGUGGGAGUCGUGACUCUUUUGCAUGUACCUUAUGAAU